ACUAAUAUGCUAUCUUGUUAACCUGGAAAUUUUCUUCUUAGCAUCAAUUGAUAAUCCUUUAAAAUAUGCUAUCUUGUUAACCUGGAAAUUUUAAUCUUAGCAUCAAUUGAUAAUCCAUUCAGGAACUCCAACUAAUCAAGCAUCACUUGAUAUAAUCCAUUCAGGAACUCCAACCAACCAAACAUCACUUGAUAUAAUUUAUUCAGGGACUCCAACCAACCAAAGUAAAUUUAAAAUAUGCUAUCUUGUUAACCUGGAAAUUAUGAUUAUUCAAUAAAUCAAUUAAUUUUUUUAAAGCAAAAUGCCC